rnacentral:rRNA from 1 species
UCACCCUACGGGACGCAGCAGUGGGGAAUAUUGCACAAUGGGGGAAACCCUGAUGCAGCGACGCCGCGUGAGUGAAGAAGUAUCUCGGUAUGUAAAGCUCUAUCAGCAGGAAAGAUAAUGACGGUACCUGACUAAGGAGCCCCGGCUAACUACGUGCCAGCAGCCGCGGUAAUACGUAGGGGGCAAGCGUUAUCCGGAUUCACUGGGUGUAAAGGGAGCGUAGACGGCCAUGCAAGCCAGGGGUGAAAGCCCGGGGCCCCACCCC